AGAAUCGCAGCGCUGUGAGGGCUCCGCGCAAAUCCAUCUUACUCUCAAUAGCUAAGUGACAUGAAAGCCAUAAAAGAAAAAGUGGUCAGCAAUAUUUAGCAGCACGACUUGGCCCCGGGCGCAGAGAGCCCCGCUAUAAAAAGCCGCUGGAAUUUACUGACGGCUACAAAUAUUUGCUUAACUUGCGUCUGGAGUUGGGGGGUUUUCCGGGGAGAGAGGAGAAGAGUGAGUGAGGGCUGGAAACCGGGUCUCGGGAGCUGGAGUCCAAACGCAGAAAGGCUUGAUGGGCUAGAAAGGAACAGGGUUGGGAUCCUUCUUUUCCAGGGAAGAAGAAACUUGGUGUCCCUUCGCCUCCGCUCCUUGGCCUCGUCCAGCAGGGCCCCACAACUCCUUCCCUCUGGAGAUUUUGGGGAAGGGGCAAGGAGGCAAAGGGGAGCUUGAGUCGCCAAUUUUUUCUCCAGUCCUCGCUUUAGGACUGAUAUUUGUCAAAAGAGCCCUGACACGGGACAACUUCCCAUCCAGCCCCUUCUUGGACCUUCCAGAACCCAAAAGAGGCAUGUCCCAGCAAGCCACUCCCACCUCUUCUCCUCGGUUACAAAAGGUCUCCAGACCCUCCUGCCUUGGACUUUCUGAGGUGCUGUUAUUAAGGGCAACUAUCAAAUUCUACCUGUUAAAACAUGAUGGAUUAGAGAAAAAAACAACCCACCAGGAACCUGAAAAACCAGCGUUCAUCUCCAUGACCACGGCUUGAACUCUCCUUCCAACUUAACGAUAAUAGGUUCUGUCUUAGAAACUGCUAUGUAAUUUGAUGUAUGGGGGUCAUUUGGCUCCGGACGAGGGAUGGAAGCACAAGCCAUGAAAUCUUGCCAGAGUUCCCUGAUCUUUGUGUGCUCUUGUUGUUGUUGAUAUUUGUUACUUGGCCUAUUUACCUGCUUCAGAAACACCAAGUAAAGGGCAACCCUGGAAAUCUAAAAAGCAAUUGAAAGCCUUCUCAAACAUAUUUUUAUUUAGAAGGCAGUUUGCAGAAGUGAAAUCUAUGUUUUAUUUUUGUUUUCAACCUUUGCAUGGUCAACCUCUGGUUCCACUUAGAAAAGUUCCAUGUGAGUUCAUAUAUUCAAACACACACACACACACACACACACACACACACACAGACAGAAUGUUAGUCUCUCUGACCAUUUAACAAAAUUACAAUGACAAAUUCAUGAAAAAAAUGAUUUAUACUUCACACCCCAACUAUGUGUAUUUGAGUCCUGGAGUUGAAUUCAAGUUUUCCAGGAAUAGCAAAUACUUUGUUAACUAGAAAAAAUAGUGACAUAAGUAUCUACCAGUGGAUGGUAAUACUGUAAUUUUGUUUUUAAUAAUGGACUCCUUUGGAUUUCAUUAUGAAACCAACAAUCUGACCAACAUCUGGAAAACAGGCACAAUUAAUUUUCCAGAACCUCAAUUAAAACAUACAGCAUCCCUUAUCCGGAGUUACUGUGCAUGAUCUUGAGCCCUGGAGUAUUGUUUCUCUUUUGGAACUAGAUAGGAAGCUACACACACCAUGAUAAAAAGUAAAUAAAGGAUAAAACAAAAUUUAAAACCGAAUAGCACUUAAAUGUUUCAGUUUCCUGUUCUUUCACUGCAAACAGUUCCUAUUACAUUUGGCAGUGUUAAUGUCAGCCAUUAUAAAAUUUUAAGAUACUAGGCUUGUGUAAAAUAAAAUGUCAGGUUAAGAAAAUUACUCCAGGCACUCGAACAGCAAGAUAUUAGAUAAAACAAAAUUAAGUUGAUUUUGAACGUGUAAUACUUCAAGUCACUUGCUAAUCCAUUAUCACAAGCUACACUGGCCUGCUGUUUACCUAAGUCUUUUCCUCAAGUUGUCCAUUGUCUUGUAAAAUCACAAAAAAUACCUUUAAAAAUCAAAGAGCAAACAACCACCCUCAGAAACUUAAAAUAUGAAUUCACUUUGGAGAGCUCCCCAAAGUGCUUCCUAUUGUUUGAGGUCAGCUGAUAACCACCCUGGAGCCCAUACAAUCGCCCCCCCCCAAAACCAGCCCCCGAAGUUUGCAACCUAGUAAAGAAGUUGGAGAUUUGCCAGCCGGGAAACUUUGCUUUGCACCCCCAAGCAAGGGUUGGGGGUGGGGGGAGAUUCCCCCGAAGAGAUCCAUUUCUGGACAAUAACCCCCAGGUGCAAGAGCUGAAAAGAGAGUUGAGGAGGCUAAACUGAGUGCAGGAAGCAAGCCCUAUUGUCUGUCUGGAAGACCUGCCCAAAUUCAACCUCCUUCCUUCAGACACCGCUCCCUCCUUCCACUCCCGCACCUUCCUCAGCCUGCCCUCACCCCGAGUUUAAGCGAGAACAUCGGAAAGAACAGCGGAUUAGCCUGGCGAAAGGAACCCAGGAGCCCCAUUGCCUGCGACGGUUUACACUUUGGAAGCACAGCAACUUCCCUCAUGCCAAGGAAAGGCAACAGGACAGGAGAAACUGCAAGGCGACGAGACACGUUUCCUCAACGCAGAGCUGGGACU